UACGUAGGGGGCAAGCGUUAUCCGGAUUUACUGGGUGUAAAGGGAGCGUAGACGGCGAUGCAAGUCUGAAGUGAAAGGCGGGGGCCCAACCCCCGGACUGCUUUGGAAACUGUAUGGCUGGAGUGCAGGAGAGGUAAGUGGAAUUCCUAGUGUAGCGGUGAAAUGCGUAGAUAUUAGGAGGAACACCAGUGCCGAAGGCGGCUUACUGGACUGUAACUGACGUUGAGGCUCGAAAGCGUGGGGAGCAAACAGG
rnacentral:rRNA from 1 species